UACAGGACGAACGCUGGCGGCGUGCUUCAUACAUGCAAGUCGAACGUGAAGCUGACUUCGGUCAGUGGAAAGUGGCGGACGGGUGAGUAAUAUGUAGAGAAUCUGCCCUUGAGUGGGGGACAACAGAGGGAAACUUCUGUUAAUACCCCAUAUGAGCUUAGUUGAAAUACUAAUCUUGAAAAACUCCGGUGCUCAAGGAUGAGUCUGCAUCUGAUUAGCUUGUUGGCGGUGUAAUGGACCACCAAGGCGACGAUCAGUAGCUGGUUUGAGAGGAUGAUCAGCCACAAUGGGACUGAGACACGGCCCAUACUCCUACGGGAGGCAGCAGUAGGGAAUUUUGCGCAAUGGGCGAAAGCCUGACGCAAGCAACGCCGCGUGAACGAUUAAGCCCUUCGGGGUGUAAAGUUCUGUCAGCAGGGACGAAUCUUGACGGUACCUGCAGAGGAAGCACCGGCUAACUCCGUGCCAGCAGCUGC
rnacentral:rRNA from 1 species